rnacentral:rRNA from 1 species
GAUGAACGCUGGCGGCGUGCCUAAUACAUGCAAGUCGAGCGAACAGACGAGGAGCUUGCUCCUCUGACGUUAGCGGCGGACGGGUGAGUAACACGUGGAUAACCUACCUAUAAGACUGGGAUAACUUCGGGAAACCGGAGCUAAUACCGUAUAAUAUAUUGAACCGCAUGGUUCAAUAGUGAAAGACGGUUUUGCUGUCACUUAUAGAUGGAUCCGCGCCGGAUUAGCUAGUUGGUAAGUUAACGGCUUACCAAGGCAACGAUGCGUAGCCGACCUGAGAGGGUGAUCGGCCACCCUGGAACUGAGACACGUUCCAGACUCCUACGGGAGGCAGCAGUAGGGAAUCGUCCGCAAUGGGCGAAAGCCUGACGGAGCAACGCCGCGUGAGUGAUGAAGGUCUUCGGAUCGUAAAACUCUGUUAUUAGGGAAGAACAAAUGUGUAAGUAACUAUGCACGUCUUGACGGUACCUAAUCAGAAAGCCACGGCUAACUACGUG